rnacentral:misc_RNA from 1 species
UUGAUUGUGGAUCGUCGCCUUCUGUGCUGGCCCCGGCAAGUGCACGUUGGUGGCUUUCAUCUAAUACCCCUGUGAACCUUUGGCCUCUAGUCGGCUUCGGCUGGCAGAGGAUUUACAUACAAACUCGAAUGUAAUGAAAUUUAUUGUCGUGCGCAAGCACUAAUGUA